rnacentral:rRNA from 1 species
UACGUAGGGGGCGAGCGUUGUCCGGAUUCAUUGGGCGUAAAGCGCGCGUAGGCGGCUUCGCAAGUCGGCCGUGAAAUCUCCCGGCUCAACUGGGAGGGGUCGGGCGAGACUGCGAGGCUGGAGGUGGGCAGAGGGCGGUGGAAUUCCGGGUGUAGUGGUGGAAUGCGUAGAGCUCCGGAGGAACACCAGUGGCGAAGGCGGCCGCCUGGGCCUGGCCUGACGCUGAGGCGCGAAAGCGUGGGGAGCGAUCCGG